GACGAACGCUGGCGGCGUGCUUAACACAUGCAAGUCGAACGGAAAGGCCCUGCUUUUGUGGGGUGCUCGAGUGGCGAACGGGUGAGUAACACGUGAGUAACCUGCCCUUGACUUUGGGAUAACUUCAGGAAACUGGGGCUAAUACCGGAUAGGAGCUCCUGCUGCAUGGUGGGGGUUGGAAAGUUUCGGCGGUUGGGGAUGGACUCGCGGCUUAUCAGCUUGUUGGUGGGGUAGUGGCUUACCAAGGCUUCGACGGGUAGCCGGCCUGCGAGGGUGACCGGCCACAUUGGGACUGGGAUACGGCCCAGACUCCUACGGGAGGCAGCAGUGGGGAAUGUUGCACAAUGGGCGGAAGCCUGAUGCAGCAACGCCGCGUGCUGGAUGACGGCCUUCGGGUUGUAAACCGCUUUCGCCUGUGACGAAGCGUGAGUGACGGUAAUGGGUAAAGAAGCACCGGCUAACUACGUG
rnacentral:rRNA from 1 species